UACGAAGGGGGCUAGCGUUGCUCGGAAUCACUGGGCGUAAAGCGCACGUAGGCGGACUCUUAAGUCGGUGGUGAAAUCCUGGAGCUCAACUCCAGAACUGCCUUCGAUACUGAGAGUCUCGAGUCCGGGAGAGGUGAGUGGAACUGCGAGUGUAGAGGUGAAAUUCGUAGAUAUUCGCAAGAACACCAGUGGCGAAGCGGCUCACUGGCCCGGUACUGACGCUGAGGUGGCGAAA
rnacentral:rRNA from 1 species